rnacentral:rRNA from 1 species
GCCUGAUGCAGCAACGCCGCGUGAGGGACGACGGCCUUCGGGUUGUAAACCUCUUUUAGUAGGGAAGAAGGGAACGCAAGUUCUUGACGGUACCUGCAGAAAAAGCACCGGCUAACUACGUGCCAGCAGCCGCGGUAAUACGUAGGGUGCAAGCGUUGUCCGGAAUUAUUGGGCGUAAAGAGCUCGUAGGCGGUUUGUCGCGUCUGCUGUGAAAUCCCGAGGCUCAACCUCGGGCUUGCAGUGGGUACGGGCAGACUAGAGUGCGGUAGGGGAGAUUGGAAUUCCUGGUGUAGCGGUGGAAUGCGCAGAUAUCAGGAGGAACACCGAUGGCGAAGGCAGAUCUCUGGGCCGUUACUGACGCUGAGGAGCGAAAGCAUGGGGAGCGAACAGGAUUAGAUACCCUGGUAGUCCAUGCCGUAAACGUUGGGCGCUAGAUGUAGGGACCUUUCCACGGUUUCUGUGUCGUAGCUAACGCAUUAAGCGCCCCGCCUGGGGAGUACGGCCGCAAGGCUAAAACUCAAAGGAAUUGACGGGGGCCCGCACAAGCGGCGGAGCAUGCGGAUUAAUUCGAUGCAACGCGAAGAACCUUACCAAGGCUUGACAUGUACCGGAAACUUCCAGAGAUGGUUGC